rnacentral:rRNA from 1 species
GAUGAACGCUGGCGGCGUGCUUAACACAUGCAAGUCGAACGAUGAAGCCCAGCUUGCCGGGUGGAUUAGUGGCGAACGGGUGAGUAACACGUGAGUAACCUGCCCUUAACUCUGGGAUAAGCCUGGGAAACUGGGUCUAAUACCGGAUAGGAGCGUCCACCGCAUGGUGGGUGUUGGAAAGAUUUCUCGGUUUUGGAUGGACUCGCGGCCUAUCAGCUUGUUGGUGAGGUAAUGGCUCACCAAGGCGACGACGGGUAGCCGGCCUGAGAGGGUGACCGGCCACACUGGGACUGAGACACGGCCCAGACUCCUACGGGAGGCAGCAGUGGGGAAUAUUGCACAAUGGGCGCAAGCCUGAUGCAGCGACGCCGCGUGAGGGAUGACGGCCUUCGGGUUGUAAACCUCUUUCAGUAGGGAAGAAGCGAAAGUGACGGUACCUGCAGAAGAAGCACCGGCUAACUACGUG